AGGCAAGAUGGGUGCAUUUGGCUCUCUCUGCUCCUGACUGCGGAUGUGACGUGACUAACUUCUUGAAUCCCUGCGUCAACUUCUUCUCAGUGAUGGGACUUGUAACCUCCGAGGGUGACAGGGAGCCACAGGAACUACUGUCCAUUCAGUGGCUGCCAGCAGCAGGCACAGCAGGGCAGUGGGGAUGCAGGAGAUGAGGAGACAGACAAGAGUCUGCCUGCAGGGAGCCCGCAGUCGAGUCAGCAAGAUGAGCAACAAACAUAUAAAGCACAUGUACAGGCUUGUGAUGGCCAGGCAGAGAGACAGAUGUGAGGGAAGGAGAUGAGGGAAAGGAAGGAAGAAAGGCAGGCAGGUGUUAAAAGAAAAUGAAAAUCAGGAGAGAGGGAGAGAGUAAAUGAGGCCAUGAUCUUAUUUUAGAUAGAGAGGUAGGUCAUCCAUGCAGACUCCAGCCAUGCAGAUCUCUGGGGUAGAAGCUCCAGGGUACAAGAUGUGCCGUGGGCACUUCUGAGAAGGAGUGGGCGAGGGGAGGGAAGGGCAUUGGGAUGGCUACUGAGCUAUGUCCCCGUGUCAACCAUUCUUCAGGAACCAGAACAUGCUCCUCAGCCUUUCAGGAGUGUGGCCAGCCCCUCCUGGAUUCCCUAGGAAGACCUGUUCUUUUUUUUUUUUUUUUUUUUUUUUUUUUUUUUUCCAACCUCAAGCGAGCGAGCGACCCAAAUGGAAUAGCACCAGCUUCGGAGCUGUGGAAGACACCAGUACACUGUUGCUGUCUUCAGACACACCAGAAGAGGACAUCAGAUCCCAUUACAGAUGGUUGUGAGCCACCAUGUGAUGCUGGGAAUUCCUCUGGAAGAGGACUCAGUGCUCUCAACCCCGUCUCUCCAGCCCCUAACUUCCUUAAUUCUAUAAAACUGUGAUACUUCAAGAAUUCAUUUUCACAUUAGCACACAAAUUUUGGAGAUAUUUUAAAUCUGUGCUGCCAGGCCAUGCCAUUCAAAAUGACUCCAGAAUAAAUUUUCUCUUAUUGCCUUC
rnacentral:lncRNA from 1 species